rnacentral:rRNA from 1 species
UACGAAGGGUGCUAGCGUUGUUCGGAAUUACUGGGCGUAAAGCGCGCGUAGGCGGCCAUUCAAGUCAGAGGUGAAAGCCCGGAGCUUAACUCCGGAACUGCCUUUGAAACUGUAUGGCUUGAGCGUCGGAGGGGAUAGCGGAAUUGCUAAUGUAGAGGUGAAAUUCGUAGAUAUUAGCAGGAACACCGGUGGCGAAGGCGGCUAUCUGGACGACAACUGACGCUGAGGCGCGAAAGCGUGGGGAUCAAACAGG